rnacentral:rRNA from 1 species
AUACGGAGGGGGCUAGCGUUGUUCGGAAUUACUGGGCGUAAAGCGCACGUAGGCGGACUGAUCAGUUGGGGGUGAAAUCCCAGGGCUCAACCCUGGAACUGCCUCCAAUACUGUCAGUCUUGAGAUCGGAAGAGGUGAGUGGAAUUCCUAGUGUAGAGGUGAAAUUCGUAGAUAUUAGGAGGAACACCAGUGGCGAAGGCGGCUCACUGGCCCGGUACUGACGCUGAGGUGCGAAAGCGUGGGGAGCAAACAGGAUUAGAAACCCUAGUAGUCC